rnacentral:rRNA from 1 species
GACGAACGCUGGCGGCGCGCUUAACACAUGCAAGUCGAACGGAAAGGCCUGCUUUCCCUUGUGGAUUGCGGGUACUCGAGUGGCGAACGGGUGAGUAGCACGUGAGUGAUCUGCCCCCAACUUGGGUAUAAGCCUGGGAAACUGGGUCUAAUUCCCGAUAGGACUGCAGGGUGGUGCCUGUGGUGGAAAACGAUUUUCUAGUGGUUGGGGAUGAGCUCGAGGCCUAUCAGCUUGUUGGUGGGGUAAUGGCCUACCAAGGCGGCGACGGGUAGCCGGUCUGAGAGGGUGGACGGCGACAUUGGGACUGAGAUACGGCCCAGACUGCUACGGGAGGCAGCAGUGGGGAAUAUUGGACAAUGGGCGGAAGCCUGAUGCAGCGACGCCGCGUGGGGGAUGACGGCCUUCGGGUUGUAAACUCCUUUCGACCGAGAGGAAGCCACCUGGUUGGAAGGGUGGUGACGGUAGUGGUAGAAGAAGCACCGGCUAACUACGUG